rnacentral:rRNA from 1 species
CCUACGGGGGGCUGCAGUGGGGAAUUUUGGACAAUGGGGGCAACCCUGAUCCAGCCAUGCCGCGUGCGGGAAGAAGGCCUUCGGGUUGUAAACCGCUUUUGUCAGGAGAGAAAUCUCUUGGGCUAAUACCCUGAGAGGAUGACGGUACCUGAAGAAUAAGCACCGGCUAACUACGUGCCAGCAGCCGCGGUAAUACGUAGGGUGCAAGCGUGGAGGGGAAUUACUGGGGGUAGUGGGUGCGGAGGGGUUUGAAAGCCCCGGGCUUAACCUGGGAACUGCACUUGUGACUGCACGGCUAGAGUACGGCAGAGGGGGAUGGAAGUCCGCGUGUAGCAGUGAAAUGCGUAGAUAUGCGGAGGAACACCGAUGGCGAAGGCAGUCCCCUGGGCCUGUACUGACGCUCAUGCACGAAAGCGUGGGGAGCAAACAGGAUUAGAUACCCCUGUAGUC